UCUUUCUUUUCUCAUUCUUUUGUUUUCUUCUUCCUUCUCUUUCUCAUUUCUCACCUACUAUUCUUCCUCACCUCCUUCGUUUUCUUUGAGAGGAAGAGAGAAACAAGCACCUUCAGAAACCCAAAUUGAAAACCAUCUCAAAUCAAAUAUACAAUUAAAGCUCACCCAAAUUCAGCCAAGAACAGCAAUCAGAAUAACCCAGAAAAAUCAACAAUUCCCAACGUUUGAUAACCAAACGGCUAAGACCAAAAAUCAACACAAAAUCCUCCACAAUUACGACCUAGAAUCAAAUACCCACAAGAAUUUAAGGCUUACUAAUAAAAUCAACACAAUAAAACCCAACUAUAAUCAAUAAUUAAGAACAAAUUUAUACCUUUGAAGAACCCAUUUUUCUGCAAUUUCUCUCACAGCUCUGUCUCUCUCUACCCAUUAAUUUGAGAGGAAGAGUGAGACACAGAGACGGAGAGCAGGAGAGGGAGAGAGGGCAAGAUUUUGAGAGAAACAGAGGGUAGAGAAAGAGACGGAGCUAUGAGAGAAAUUGAAGAAAAAUGAGUUCUUCAAAGGUCGUAAUUGCGGAGGAUGUUGGCUGAUUUAUGAAAGGAAAAUUUGGGUCUUAAGUUUAGUGGUCUAAUCGAUCCGUAUCUCCUUGAGCUGCUCCUCUACUUGGCUAGAUGCCUAGAUGCUUCUUGCUCCUCCAUGUGCUUCCCUUUCAAACUAUUUGCUCUUGUUGAAGCAGAUGUGGCCAGAUUGAAGCAGAAAGUUGCAGAACUCCACCAUCAACUAAAUCAGCAGAGGCAGCAUCACUAUGGUUCCCUCUCUGAUGCAUGUGACCUUAAUCAACAUGGCCAAAAUAAUAAUCCCCAACAGUGAGUUUGAGAAAUCAUGCUAUAUUUUCUUAACGAUCAACUUAUGGUGUCAAGUUAUAAGUAGUUGCAUGUGUUAUUUCCUUAAUUAAGGUCAGAGGAACUGUUUCUCAUGCAACAAGGCCAAGGAGUAGAGCCUUAUUAGGAAAUUUUCAGAUUUAGUUUUCAGUGUCUUUAAUCUUUAGCCAAAAAGGAUGUUUUGGGAAUUGUAUAAAUCUGGAAUGGGACAGAUUCUUUAGCUUUAAUUGUUGGGAUUUUAUGUUUUGUAAUACGAUUUGGGAUUUUUUGCUUGAGUUUAAUUAGAGCCGAAGGUAAAUUAGGAACCGAGUUGGGAAAUAGCUUGUAAUAAAGGCAUAAGGUUUUUUUAUUGUUGGUUAUGAAUUUGUUUGGAGUUUGGUGCUCUUUGAUAGCCAUAGGCCCAUAAGUUUGGUUCA